rnacentral:siRNA from 1 species
UCGGGAAGAGGGUUUGCCGUUG